rnacentral:rRNA from 1 species
UACGUAGGGGGCAAGCGUUGUCCGGAUUUAUUGGGCGUAGAGAGCGUGUAGGCGGCCAGACAGGUCCGUUGUGAAAACUAGAGGCUUAACCUCUAGACGUCGAUGGAAACCGUCUGGCUAGAGUCCGGAAGAGGAGAAUGGAAUUCCUGGUGUAGCGGUGAAAUGCGCAGAUAUCAGGAAGAACACCCGUGGCUAAGGCGGUUCUCUAGUACGGUACUGACGCUGAGACGCGAAAGCGUGGGGAGCGAACAGG